rnacentral:misc_RNA from 1 species
CCGAGUUUACAACUCCCAAACCCAUGUGAACAUUAUCAUCUUUGUUGCCUCGGCGGCAUCUAGCCCGACCUCCGCGUACACCGGGACGGCCCGCCAGCGGACACCUAAAACUCUUGUUAUCUAUUGAUUAAUCUGAGUGUAAACUUAUUAAAUAAGUCA